UGCCGGCGUCGGAAGGCUGGAAUUGCUAGCGGUACAUCGGUCGUUGAGCGUGAAUCGCUUCAGACAAACUCUGGGUGGCAGCCAGUAGCGUUAGCAUUCAUCGCCAGCUGUGCAAGAGUAUGCCGAAAGCCUGUCCCCCCUCCUACCUCGGCUCACCUCUUGUGAUGACCGGUCAUUGACUUUUUAAGGUAGGCCUAUGUAUAUAUGUUGUCCGUGAUGUGCAAGUGUCACGGUGACUUAUUAUAGCGUGAUGGUUUAUUGAAGCCUUUUAAACUAAACGUUUUCCCCCUACAGGCCUUCGA